CAAUAGCGUAUAUUAAAGUUGUUGCAGUUAAAAAGCUCGUAGUUGGAUUUCUGGUGGGAGCGAUCGGUCUGGCGCUUAGCGCGAGUACUUGCAUCGUCUCCGGCCAUCCUUGGGGAUAGUCUGUCUGGCAUUAAGUUGUCGGGCAGAGGAUCCUCAUCGUUUACUGUGAAAAAAUUAGAGUGUUCAAAGCAGGCUUAUGCCGUUGAAUAUAUUAGCAUGGAAUAAUAAGAUAGGACUUUGGUACUAUUUUGUUGGUUUGCGCACCAAAGUAAUGAUUAAUAGGGACAGUUGGGGGUAUUCGUAUUCCGUUGUCAGAGGUGAAAUUCUUGGAUUUACGGAAGACGAACUACUGCGAAAGCAUUUACCAAGGAUGUUUUCAUUAA
rnacentral:rRNA from 1 species